GUGAAACCCCAUCUCUCCUAAAAAUAAAAAAAUUAGCUGAGUGUGGUGACAUGGGCCUGUAGUCCCAGCUACUUGGGAGGCUGAGGCAUAAGAGUUGCUUGGACCCGGGAACCAGAGGUUGCAGUGAGUUGAGAUCGUGCCACUGCACUCCAGCCUGGGUGAUAGAGCAAGACUCUGUCUCAUAAAUAAAUAAAAUAAAUAAAUGGUUUUGCAUAUAAUAAUUCAAUAACCCUUACAAUACCCCUGUGAGGAAGAGACAGGUACUACUAUUAUCUCAGUUUAACUUAUGGGAACAAACUGAGGCCAAGAAGUGUUAAGUAACUUGUCCAAGGGUUACUCAGUUUGCAAAUGGUAAAGUCAAGAUGUGAACCCAAAAUUUACAUUUUUGUUUUCCUUUGAAAGUCUACCAUGAACAGGACUUCUCAAUUUCUGUGUCCCAGAUCAGUGCUUCUGGAAGCAGAGGACAGGAACCAUGAAACCUUCACCAGAAUGCGCAGGCAAGCCAGCUUCCGGGCUCUAGGCACUCCUUGUUCCCAGAGCCACUGGACUAACCCAAGCCACCUAGAUACUUCUUCCUUGACUGUGGUUCUUUUUUCUUUUCCCACAUUUACAUAGAGUGAUUCUUUUUAAGCUUACACAAUAGGCUGAAUUAAUUAUUUAAAUCACUAUUAAAGAUAGUCAAAAAGAUUCUGGAUGUGCAAAUCAAAUGCAGUUUAUUUUUUUCAAUCUCUUAGAAUCUCUAAAAAUCAAAUUUAUAAUUAUGUCUCUUAGUAGCUUAGUAGAGCAAAAAGGAAUGUUAGGAAAUACAACAUAAAUACAAAGUCUUGGUGACUUCUAAAACGCCAUCUUUAUUCCUGCACCUAGAUGAUGACAGAUUACAAACGCAUAUUUCUACUCUUUAAUUACUAGACCAGUUCCAAUACUACACAAUAGGCAGUCUCCCUAAAAGACAAUAAAAGUUUCAAAGCAAAAAGAGGAUUUUAAAGAAUUCAACUAAAAAAUCCCAUGUUCUUCAAUGGUUAGUGUGUAAAAGAAUUCCCAUAAGAAAAGUAGUACAUUUCUUUCUAUCUCUGAUAAAUGAAGCCCCUUCUGUUUCAGGUUAUAAUGAGCUAUUUUACUCCAAAAGAACAAUUCUCUAUUAUGGAACACUUCUAAGGUGAUAUGGUUCCUGAAACAACAGUGUGUAUAGCAACAGCACUUUCAUGGACUUAACACAAAAAUGUAAACUUUGAAAAACAGGAGGUCACUAUUCAUACUGAGAAAUAGCAGACAAAUGACUGCAGCAUUCCUUAAAAGACAAUCCCCUUCAACCCUGCUAGUGAGUUUAAACAUGAUUACAUUUAUAAAAUUUGAUUUAGUUACAAAAUGUCAAGAGCAUGUCCAGUAUGUUAAAUAAGCCAUAGUUAGUUUAAAUUUUUUUUUUUUUUUUUUUGAGAUGGAGUCUCGCUCUGUCGCCCAGGCUGCAGUGCAGUGGUGUGAUCUCUGCUCACCACAAGCUCUGCCUCCCAGGUUCGCACCAUUCUCCUGCCUCAGCCUCCCGAGUAGCUGGGACCACAGGCGCCCGCCACCACGCCUGGCUAAUUUUUUGUAUUUUUAGUAGAGACGGGGUUUCAUCGUGUUAGCCAGGAUGGUCUCCAUCUCCUGAGCUCGUGAUCCGCCCACCUCGGCCUCCCAAAGUGCUGGGAUUACAGGCGUGAGCCACCGCGCCCGGCCAGUUAGUUUAAAUUUUAAAGCAAACAUCCAUAAAUGUCCAACUAUUAUCUAUGUAACUGAUAUUCUCAAAAUGCUUUUACCACAUAUCAUUACAAUCAUCUUCACAACAGUUCUACAGGUGCGAGCCACAGCAUCUGGCUCAUAGGUGAGAUCUUCAUUGGGUUAAGUGGCUGUUUGGAUUACAAAACAGGGCACUGUGUAUGACAGUGAAAUUUGUUUUACACUCAUACUAACAAAUACGUGGCUCCAGUCCUCAUCAGAGAACCUUCUGUAUGAAAGGCUAACAUUUCACUCCAUAACAACUCAGAAAGUGUAAGUUGUGGAGAACCCCAGGGGUCAACUGAUCUAAUCUCAUGUGAUACAGGAACCCCCUGUAAAUCACUGCACAUCACAGAAUAUGGAUUUUAGAGUUGACAAAGCUGAACUCAAAUCCUCGUUCUGCCUCUUCUUAGCAAAUUACUUCAUGUCUGCAAUGAUGGUUGUAAAGCAUCGCAGGUGCCCUCACUGCUAUGGUCCAUCUGCUUCCCUUUCCAGAUUUUUCACCAUCCUGCCUGUGCUCCUGAAUACACACUCAAGCUAGAAACACAGAGCCCCGAACUUAGGACAGUGAUCUGGCCGGCCACUGCCUAGCAAGACUAUCAUCUCAGGAAACCCAGACCAUGAAGGCGAGUACCUUCUAAGAGCCAGCACUGCAGCUGAUCACCAAAUUGGCUAGCUUUUGUGCCUUUUGCACUUGCUUUAGUGCCAACAGGAUAAAACUGUCAAGGACAAAAUCUAAAUGUUUAUUUACGUGGGGAUGAGUCAGGAAGUAGACUUUAUUUUACUGGGCUCAGGGCCAACAACCUCAUUCAGUGGCCUCCAAAACUAAACACUUUGUUGAGGGAGAAGAGAAAUCGCUCCACAAGAGAUAUAGAAAGGACUGGAAUCUCCGCUUACAGAGCUGUGGACUGCCCAGAACUUACAGCAGGGUCAGCAAAUUUUUUCUGUAAAAGGUAAAAUAGUAACUUUAUGGUCUCUGUGGCAACUACUCAGCUCUGUGAUUGUAGCAUGAAAGCAACUAUAGACAAUACCUAAACAAAUGAGCGUGGCUGUGCUUCAAUCAGAUCUUACAUACAAAAGCAGGCAACAGGCCAGCUUUGGUCCACAGGCUGUAGUCUGGUGACUCCUAGUUUAGAGUACUGUUACUGGCACAUCACAGGCACACAAUAAACAUCAAGUAUAUGAUUCAAUGUACAGUGGCAAGAGAACAAACUGUCAUGCUAAAAUCAUUUCAACCUUAAAAAUAAUUCAGCUUUCCCUAUCUUUUAUUGUUACUGAUUACAGUGAUGGUAUUCAGGUGAACACUCUGCCAUUUAGAAUAUCAUUUAGCCUUAGCCUGUGCAGCUAAUGCAGCUUCUUCACACCACACAGCCAUCUUUGACAUAUUUCAACUUGUUAAUGAUUCAUGUUCGCAGCCCUUUUGGCUGAUGCUAUCACUGCAAAGCAGUGAUAUGUGUGAGUCCAUUCAUUACGGUAACAAGCUUUCCCUCAAGCUUUGUUUCUUGCAAUAUCUAUCAUUUCUAGUGUGAUCUCCUCCACUGAUUUUUAAAAAUCCAGUCAACAGUAGGAUUUUCUUGUUGAACUGUGAAGGCCUGUGCUCGGUAGGGACUUUGUGAAUCAUCCCUGCUUGGGUCCCAGAGCUACUGGAGGGCCCAUCACUGGAGUGGCUGGUGAGACCCUCCAGGGCAUGAGAGUUGCUAUGGGCCUCUGUGUGGCUUCUAGAGGCUUCCCAGGGGCACAAAGACUAUGUGACCCAGGUGGAAGCUCGGGAGGCUCACGCUGGACACAUGCUGCACACUCUGGCUCCCCUGUGGCUGCAGCUGCACCCACCUACCCAGCAUUCUCCCCACGACCUGUCCAGCCCAAGCCCACGGCACUCCCAGGGGAGCCCAGGACACCCUCAACUUUUUAGUGGAUUACUAGAGUAUCAGACCACCCAUUUAUCUCUCAGUUCCUCACUCCCACCCCUGCACCCAGCAAGUCACCAAGUCCCCCAGGUGAGUAAACUGGAGCUAACAGCAGUUGGUACUUACGGCAUAUACUGGAUUUGGCUCACUCACACGUGGUAUUCCUAUCUUCAUCUACUGUAUCUUCCUGGACUACAUAAGCUGCAAAGUUAAAAACUGCAUUUCUCAGAUUCCCUUGAGCUAGGUUCCAGACGUGAUUUAUUAUCAGUCAAUCAAACACAUUCGCAUGAGUUUUGUAUAGGGAACAAUGUUAAGUCGGAAGAAAGGCAGAAUGCAAGACACGGUUCUGGAGCCAGCAGCUUUAUUGGUAGCAUCCUGACUCAAUAGGCAGCUUUCCUGAUAAUAGCAGGAACAUCAGCCUCCUUGGUGGCCCACUCAUUGUGUGGCUCUGGAAAUCAUUCCUGGAUAUUCCACCUAGUCUGUUUCUUUAGCUUUCCCAACAACUCUGUGAGCCAUGUAACAUUCUGUAAUAAAUUUCUUUCUGCUUAAAUUAGUUAAAAGCCUCUUUUGUUUUCUGCAAAUGAACCCUGAGCAAUAUAGUUGACUAAGAUCAAACAACUACAAGUCAUGCGUUGUUUAACGAUGGAGAUACAUUCUGAGACAUACACUGUUAUGUGAUUUUGUCUCACAAACAUCACAUAGAGUAUAUUUACACAAAUCCAAAUGGUAUAGCCUACUACACACCUAGGCUAUAUGGGAUAGUCUGUUGCUCCUAGGCUACAAAUCUGUAUAGCAUGUUACUGUACUAAAGACUGUAGGCAACUGUAACACUGGUUACAAUGGUAAAUAUUGGUAAAUAUGGUAAACAAUGGUAAAUAUCUGUAUAUCUAAACAUAAAAAAGGUACAGUAAAAAUAUAAUCAUGGGACCACCACAACGUUGUUAUUCAGUGCAUGACUGUAUUAGCUCAGACGUUAACCAAAAUGAGUCUGCCUUCAAAGCUCCAUUCACUCAAUCUCUAUACUACACCACUGCAGUUCUGGGAGGCUGUUCUCCCUCAGGUCUCCCAGCUCUUCUAAUGUCUGCUGAAGUUGGAAUUCUCUUCUGCACAUGGACUACGAAACUGACAUGCUCAGUUAUCAUUUCAUACUAGCUAAAGGAUCUUCUCCUUUGUGAAGCAUCCCUCACCACUACUACUGUGAUGGGUCGGGGCCUUUCAUCUGUUUUUCCACAGCAUCUAUGCUUCUCUUCACUGUAUCAUUUAUCAAAUUGAUGAUUUCUGCGUCCUGUAAUAAACAGUGAGUACCUUAAGAACAAAUGUCAUUUCUUAUUUCUCUCUACCCUCAGCAACUGGCUUAUUAGAAUAAACAAAUAGUUAAUGCUGCUAAGUGAAUGAAUGACCUAAUAUAAUGGGAAAACAUAACUUGGAGGAUGGUUCAGUUGGCCGGCUUUAUAACAUGUUAAGAUGCAAUAAUGGACAGGAAAGCAUGAACAAAGUACAAAGCGCUGUUAUCCACCAUCAUAAGUCUUUGUCUAUAUCCAUCUUGUCUACAUGGGCUCUCUAAGGGCAGAAUCCUAGCUAGCUGAUCUGUAUCUAGCACAGAGCUUGUUUCUUAGUGUAUGGAAUGAAAUCAUCCACUAAAAAUUAUUAGUUGAAUGUGGCUGGUGCCAAAUACUCUUCCGGGCAGAUCAAAAGAGAUCUCAACCAAGAUACAAAUGAUAUAAUAUAAUAUUUUUCUUUCUUUCUUUUUUGUUUUGAGAUGGAGUCUCACUCUGUUGCCCAGACUGGAGUGCAGUGGCAUGAUCUUGGCUCACUGCAAGCUCCGCCUCCCGAGUUCAAGCGACUCUUGUGCCUCAAUCUCCCAAGUAGCUGGGAUUACAGGCUACUAUUUUUAGUAGAGACGGGGUUUCACUCAGCGGGGCUGGUCUUGAACUCCUAGCCUCAAGUGAUCCUCCCGCCUCGGUCUCCCAAAGUGCUGGGAUUACAGGCAUGAGCCACUGCACCUGGACGAUAUAAUAUUUUUCUCUUUUAAGAGCAAACAAUAAAGAAUUUAAACUCAUUUGCUUUUAGCAAAAGCAGUACUGUUUGCUCUUAAAAGACAUAAUUUUUUAAUCUUUUAAGAGCAAACAAUACUGCUUUUGCUAAAAGCAAAUGAGUUUAAAUUCUUUUCAUAUCAUUCAGGCCAUUUUGAGGAAGGUCUGGCAGAGCCUUUUGGUUGUUCCCCAAUAUCUUUCUCCCAUUCUUCCUGAGUAUUAGAGUCAUCGCAUGUAAACCAGGCAUUAGUCACCCAGAAUAAAGACUGCAUGUCCUCGCUCCUUGAAGUGAGAGAUGGCCAUGUGACUUAAGUUCUAGUCAAUGGAAUGCAAGUAAAAUUAGAGUGUACAACUUUUGGGAAGUGUCUUUAAACAAACCACAGGGUGGAGAUGAUACCUUUCUCUUCCCGUUUCCUUUUCCCCACAGGAUGGAAUACAGGGGGGACAGUUAGAUUCUGAAUUGUUAAGCAGAGCUGCUUGAUGCAGAAGAUGAAGACACAAGAAAGAAUGAGCCUAGGCCGGGCACAGUGGCUCACGCCUGUAAUUCCAGCACUUCGGGAGGCCGAGGCGGGAGGAUCACUUGAGCUCAGGAGUUUGAGACCGGCCUGGCCACCAUGGUGAAACCUCGACUCUACCAAAAAAAAAAAAAAAAAGCCAAAAUUAGCCGGGUGUGGUGGCAUAUGCCUGUGGUCCCAGCUACUUGGGAGGCUGAAGUGGGAGAAUCACUUGAGCCCAGGAGGCUGCAGUUGCAGUGAGCUGAUAUUAUGCCACUGCACUCCAGCCUGGGUGACAGGGUGAGACCCUGUC
rnacentral:lncRNA from 10 species